UCGAUCUAAUAACUGCUUAUUAAGCACUUAAAUAAUCAAUACAGUGGUUUUGCUAAAGUGACCCAAUCCCGUUGCAGAGAAUUUGGCACUUUCUGUUUCGAUAUGAGGCAAGAAUGUGCCUCCAUGAAUAAUUGGCCGUUGAAGAUAUGCCAGCUUCAUUCCGGGUGGAAAAAUUCAAUUUGGCACUAAAUCCCAGGUAUUGAGUGCAUCCCGAAUAUGGUUUUCUAUACAUUAAAAAUGAUGUUGUCAAGCAUGGUAUGCCCAACUCAUGCUUUUCUCUAUUGCCGGAAAACAAGCAAAGAGGGAUUAAGCAACUUGGUUACGCAAUCAGUUCAACAUUCUUCCUGCCAAAGCUUUGGAGGUUCUGAUGUAUUUCUGAUUUCUACGUUGCUAAUACAUCUGGGAUCAUGGCGAGCAACUGGAUGGCCAAAUGGGGGAUGGAAGGAAAUAGGACCUAUUCGACAACUACUUGCUGAGUAAUGAUGACGUCACUGAUGGUGGUUGAGAGAAAGGACUCUGACUGGUAAGGCUAUGGAGGGCUGAGGAGUCUAUUGUGUUGGAGAAGGAGGGCCUCUGCCAGGAUGGAUCUGCAGUUCCGUACUACCCAAGGAAUAUCUCCACUCCACGGGAACUCUGCAUGUCCUUCAUCAGCAUCAAAACAGAAGGAAAAGGUCGACUGCCUUCUGACUCUUUUCUACGCAAGCCUGCCGUGAUAUUGUACCUUUGAAGCUGACCACAACAUCACACACACCCCUUUUUGGGAAGUCAUUCGAGGAAGGUAGACCAUAAAUAGACCAGAACCCCUGAAAUAUCCCGAGAUCCCCUGCAGUAAAUCAAGCUGUCUGCAACAAGAGAAAACACAUCCAUGUAGGGCGCGAAAAUUCGUUUCUGUGAACAACCACGUUCAAAACAAGUAUUUGCGGCCCCCAGCCAGAGCCCCUCAACUCGCCCACGUGUUUGAUCUUCUAAUUGCCUCAAGACAUCCACAGGCUUGCUUUACAACGCAGCAGGCCUUGCCUGGGCUGUGGUGUGAUGUACACCGGAAGCCAGCCUGGCCAUCAGAAAUAGAUUCUCAAAGAACACAUUUGUGAAGAAUUGGCCUCACCCACUGGCCUUUGACUGAUGUCAUAAGAGCUUCUAGAUACAUGGUGAUGGGAAAGGAUGACUUCAAGAAAUCUGCAUGCACUUGCUCCGUACCCAAGGCUGACCUUGAACCUUAGCUCUAUGAGUGUUGGGCUUAAAGGCUAUUCCCUAGGCCACAGAAUGGCCAGCAAAGAGUUUCAAAUAUCUUCAUCUUUGUGGCACUCUCUUCUGCCCUUGGAGAAUGCCCUUAAUUUUGUGCAGGCCACCUGCUGAUACUGCCUCAUGUACUACAGAUGCUCGGAGAAGAACGAAUUAUUCUCAAUGUUUCAUAGAGCUUCCCCAUAAUGUGUUUAUAGUUUUUUUUUUCCUAAGUCAAGCAUAUUGAGCGAAUUUCUUGAGCUCCUAUAUUUGGUCCAUGAAAGAACAAGAGUGAUAGGUGUUAGAAAGCUUCUCAAGGAAGGAAAUGAGUGAUUAGCCAGUGAAGCAAGAACUCCUAGCCAUGCCGCUUCUCCUCCAGGCCAGGCUGCUGCAGAAGCCUGACUCAUCCCUGGUAACUAGGGAGAUACAGCACAUCCAUAGGAAGAAACCAGAGAAUGUCCAGAUAGGAAGUGCUUGCUUAGUCUGUGAUUCUGAUGUCUCAAUUGAUAGAAGAAAGCCCACAUUAAACAAAAUGUACCAAAGAAACUGCAGAAGAUGUAGGUUCUAAGCUGUGUGAGCAAUGCC